rnacentral:rRNA from 1 species
UCCUACGGGGGGCAGCAGUGGGGAAUAUUGCACAAUGGGGGAAACCCUGAUGCAGCGACGCCGCGUGAGCGAUGAAGUAUUUCGGUAUGUAAAGCUCUAUCAGCAGGGACGAAGAUGACGGUACCUGACUAAGAAGCCCCGGCUAACUACGUGCCAGCAGCCGCGGUAAUACGUAGGGGGCAAGCGUUAUCCGGAUUUACUGGGUGUAAAGGGAGCGUAGACGGCGGUGCAAGCCAGAUGUGAAAGCCCGGGGCUCAACCCCGGGACUGCAUUUGGAACUGUAUGGCUGGAGUGUCGGAGAGGCA